GUUCAUGUCUUUCCGCCCUAGUGUGUGGUGAUGUGCUCCCUAGACUGUCGAAUGCCGACGGGAGCUGGUAGAGUCCGCUCACUGCUCCUCACAUUUCAUGCUGUUUUUCUUCUGCAGGAGAGAGUGGCGACCGAGGUAGUUCUCUCACGUCAAGGAUUCGUUUCAAUCUUCUUGCACUUACACCCUGCAGCUAUUCUAAUUUGAGGCACAAGUCCCUGGCAUACACACUUGUCCUGCCACACCCUUGACGAACCCAUAGACCUUGUUCUUUCCUCCUCCCUGUCUCUACUCUCCCUCUAUUUUCCCACACCGCCCCGCCAAGAGCCACUGUCGGGCUCCGUCCAAGACGCCAUCGUUUCUCCACCACAAGCGAUGCCAGAUCUUCCCCGAUGAGAAGUGUCACCGACUCUCCACCCUCCACCAUCCACCAGCCGUCCACGCCAUCCAUGCUUGAGCUCGCUGAGUUUUCCCCCCAAGUUUGUUCAUGUUUUCUUUUCAUCUUGGAGCUGAUUUAUUACUAGUGUUCUUGAUUCCUCUUUUGGUCCAUGGCAGACGUGCUUUUUUUCAUGUCCAUGGUAGCUGCCUUCCCGACAUGCUUGAGCCAAUUAUUCAUCUUCAUGACAUGGACAGCUAGAAAAGGAACUUGGUCAGGCCGCACUCACUGAUAGGGACAACAACAUGCAGACAUCAAAGACGGCUUCGAGGUCGAAGCAUUCGGAUUUGUCUGGUGGGUCGGAUCGGUCUAGUGGAUAUUAUUUAUAUCUUGGGAUUUGCAAACAUACCAACUGAUUUUAUUGAUUUUUUGGACUUCCCAAUUGAUUUUGUUCA